CCACCUGGAAGAAUAGCCAAAGGAAAAUCGAGCAUCUUUAGGUCAUUCAUCCCGGCCAAUUCCAUUCAAUUAUAACUGUCAUCAAUUUCGUUGUCAUUAAAAAGAAGUUUUCGAGGCGCCUAAUCGUAACGCUAGAAUAGACGUCAAUCAAAACGCAACAAGGGUAUACUAAGGAUGCACUCUACAAAAACAUUACCGUCUCUUUAUGUUCUUAUUAUGGCAUGCUUACUUGGCACAGUGACACAGACCAUUUGUAACUUGGCAUUGUGCCAAAUAUCGCAAAGCAUGAAAGCGACAACAAAAACAAUACUCAAAAAAAAAAAAAAAAAAACACCUGUAGUGAAUGAAUAUCAUGUAAGAAAUUAAUGCAAUUUACAGAGCUGGCUAAUUGUAAACGUCAAGUGACUAAGCCUUAAAUACAAUAACAAACAUAGAAAGAGACUGAAAAUGACUAAAUAAAUGUGUUAAGUAGUCAAAGGCCAUAAACAAAUCUGGUGCGCAUUUUCAUUACUUUUCAUACGCAACGUUGACACCGACGCUGACGCAAUGCCACGACCUACCCCCAAAGGCGUCCCCUUAGCAAACAGUGUGUGGACCGACAGGCAACUGACGGCUUCCGUUGACCCUGGUCAAUAAACUAGUGAGGCAAAUGGGUAGCUGCAAGUAAAUAUCAUAAACGCGAAUAUGUGUCAAUAAAGUGUACGAGAGGCGCAUCGAAUGAAAAACACGAGACACUCUAUAAAAACCAAACAAGACAAAUAGAAAGCAAAAAAAUCCAUG
rnacentral:sRNA from 1 species